GGUUAAGCGACUAAGCGUACACGGUGGAUGCCCUGGCAGUCAGAGGCGAUGAAGGACGUGCUAAUCUGCGAUAAGCGUCGGUAAGGUGAUAUGAACCGUUAUAACCGGCGAUUUCCGAAUGGGGAAACCCAGUGUGAUUCGUCACACUAUCAUUAACUGAAUCCAUAGGUUAAUGAGGCGAACCGGGGGAACUGAAACAUCUAAGUACCCCGAGGAAAAGAAAUCAACCGAGAUUCCCCCAGUAGCGGCGAGCGAACGGGGAGCAGCCCAGAGCCUGAAUCAGUGUGUGUGUUAGUGGAAGCGUCUGGAAAGGCGUGCGAUACAGGGUGACAGCCCCGUACACAAAAAUGCACAUACUGUGAGCUCGAUGAGUAGGGCGGGACACGUGGUAUCCUGUCUGAAUAUGGGGGGACCAUCCUCCAAGGCUAAAUACUCCUGACUGACCGAUAGUGAACCAGUACCGUGAGGGAAAGGCGAAAAGAACCCCGGCGAGGGGAGUGAAAAAGAACCUGAAACCGUGUACGUACAAGCAGUGGGAGCACGCUUAGGCGUGUGACUGCGUACCUUUUGUAUAAUGGGUCAGCGACUUAUAUUCUGUAGCAAGGUUAACCGAAUAGGGGAGCCGAAGGGAAACCGAGUCUUAACUGGGCGUUAAGUUGCA
rnacentral:rRNA from 1 species